rnacentral:miRNA from 1 species
AUUAAGUCCAUGUAAGGGAUUAAAAAUUAUAUUAUUUAUAUUAUAUUAUUUAUAUUAUUUUAUUUAAAUAAUAUAUUUAUAUUAUAUCAUAACAAAACUGGGCUUUGUAAUAUACAUUCCUUAUAUGU